UCUUAGGGAGACCCUUAGCCGUCUGUUUUUAUAGAGACCCUUUUGGCCAAUCAGCAAAUCAUCGCUGCUUGAUAUGGGCAUGUACUUGUUGGCAUUGUCCCCAGUGUAUUUGGGGCAAAUCAGCUUCAGCAGAUAUAUUUUUAAUAUUUAGUAGAAAUGUUCUUUGAUUUUAGAUUGUGUUUUUUGUCCUUAUCUAUCUUUCAUUUAUUUAUUUAAUGUCCAUACUUAGGUAUCUGAUGGGCAGUGUGUCACUUUACUUUUCGAACUGCUCAAUCAUAUUUGUUGUAUGCCAUGGGAAAGUUUCGAAUCUGUUGUUUGAAAUAGUAAAAACUAUUUUAAAACUGCUAUGACCAUUAAUCUAUAUGUGUCAAAUACAGGGAAGGUAAUUAAAUGAUCAAAUCUCCAAAAUGUUUAUGACCUUAUUCAUAGGACUUGAUGAAAUUCAAUCUGUUUUUGUCAAUGCUCUUCAUCUGAGUACUGACACAUGCAAAAAGAAUCCUACUGAACUGUUAAAGUGUCAGAUGAGACUCUUAGCCAUUCCAUUUGUGGCCACGAAGACAAAAUGCAGCUAGAGAUGCUCACUGAGCUUUUUGCCCACACAAUACCCUGUUUCUAAUCUCUUGGACUACUUAAAGGAUACAAAUGUGUACUUUUUCCAAUUCUCAUUCUGAUUGAUCUCUUGAACUGAUAUCAUUGGACAUUGAUAUUCCAUGUGAAGCUGAUUUUUAAUGCCAGCAUUACACUAUAGUUACAAAAAACUCUUCUUGUGUGAUUAUCCGAAUUUAACAAGAGUUUGAUAGUAGAGUGUAGUAGAGAUUAGCAAGAAGCAUCAUACAGGAGGAUAAAAAGUACAUGGCUGUAUGUGAGGGGGAUGAGGUCUGAUGGGUAGAAUCAUCUUUUGAACCAUGCCCUCAUUAAUUUUAUUAUUUAUUUCCACUGAUGCAAAUGCAUCUUGACUUGAUAAUAUACAACCUUUUCUAGAGGGUAUGGGUUUCAUCAGCUGUUACCUUGAAGACUUGUAGGGACAGGCUAUUGAAUUUUGAUGUUGGCACCAUCAGUAAUGGUCUUCUAAGUAUGUGGCUGUGUGACAAGAUCUAAACUUGGUGCCAUGUUAGACUCAAGAAAACUCAAGCAUCAUGAUCAGCUUGAAUGAAAUAUGACGUUUUGAGAAUAACCCUUAGCAUAAUCCAGAAUGUUGAACAGCAAAAAUAAAUACACAAGUUUGCUGUGUUUUGGAUUAAGUUUGCACUUCUUGUUCUACAUCAUCAAAGCACAAUAAUAAACACAAGCAACACCGGGUUUCCCUGGUAUUCACAGGAACACAGAAUACAUUUGCACAUUAAUGCCAUACAUCUCAUGCCAUGACUCUUACAAUAAAAUUAUGCAACUUCCAUUUAAGUGGUAGAUCCACGGCAUGUGUUUGAUGCACACUUGACAUUAUCUCCAUCCUUAUCUUGCUUUGCUCUGCCUAAGCAUACUUUGUUAUAAAUGAUCUCUGCAUGUUCCCCCAACCUAUUCAAUUUCCUCUGAAAGGAAAAAUUAGGUAAGAUUAUUGAGAAACUAAUAUUUAACCAGAUGAAGUGCCACCCUCUCGAUUCGUAGCAUUUCCAAGGCUGCACUUGCUGCAUCCUUGCCGUGACAAAAUACCAAGAAUCUUUCACAUUUUCACACUCGCACUAGGCUCUUUACUUACAGUUAUGGGAAAGCCAUCAUGUUUAAACACCGUUGGUACCACAAUAUUGUUGGGUCCAUGUUGUUUCCGAGAUAAAUUGCUUAAAAUGUCUCAACACAACUUGAUCAUUGUUUGUGCUCAUUACGUUUGUGUUGCUUUUCAGAACUUUUGACUACGGGCAAUAUAUGUACUGUUAUGAAUAGAUAUGAACAUUGAUGUAGUUCUGUUGUACUUUUUCAACUUACACCACAACAGAGUUACAACAAUCGAUCGCGUUUACCGUUUAAAAUCAGUUGGAAAAGUGUGAAGUGGCCAAAGCUUAACUGAUUUCCCGUUAAUUUCCACUAUUCCAAGCAUGUUCCAUUCAUAAUCGUUUGAGAUGCUUAUGAGGUUUCCAGCUUCGUCUUACGAGUGUGCUACUUCAAGGCUGUGGCACUACCAAGGGAAGCAUCCUUGACAUUGAGAUUCGCCCUCUGCGUGGUAUGGGGUCAGGGGUCAGGUCAGGUCAGGUUCAGGUUAUGCAACCUCAAGACCCACCUUUAGCAGACCAUGUAUAACACCUGAGGCCACUUUUACCUUCAUUACCACCAAUCAAAACCGUCUCAUCCCUCCAGAUCUGUUGUUGUUGCCCUUUGCCCUUUUUUGUGUGAAGAGGAGAGGGCACAUUUAUCUCUUCUCAGUUUGGCUUUGCAAAAGCAGAUCAACUUUCAGUCUAUGUUUUAAAAAUAAAAUUGGCUCUAUGUGAGAUGGCCAGAGAUGUACAUAAAUCUAGACUAUAUCCUGGCUACAGGGAUUGAGAAAUGAAGAAAUGAGAUUUGAUUUGAUCUUUUUACAUCACAUAUUUUUACAUAGGCCCUACUUGAUCUUCUAAUCAGAGCGCUGUGCAAGAUCAUGUUGUGCUUUUAUUUAUAUUACUUGGCCUGAUAAUUUAUCUGUUUUGGAGCAUGAUAAGUUACACUAAUAAAACCAAUAAACUAUUGUCAUCUGAUCUGGUCAUAACAAGCUUGUGUACUUAUUUGGAUGAAUCCAAAUAUAGACCUUGGCCAGUGAGACUUUUUCACAUAGCUUUUAAUGGCCCUUGUAGAAAUGAUACAAACUCUAGUAGCAAAUUUGCUGGACACUCUGAGUUUGUGCAUCAUGCAAGUUGGGCUUGAAUUCGGCAGAGCAGUGGAUUUUGAGGUGUUCGAUAUCAAAUUUAGAAGAAGAUGGUCUUCACCCCGCCAACUACUCGCCAGUGUAUUUGUGUGAUGUAGGUCCUCAACUCCUUGGCCUGGUACUCAGCGAUAGCAGCACACCCCGAUC